AUUGAACGCUGGCGGCAGGCCUAACACAUGCAAGUCGAGCGGAUGAAGGGAGCUUGCUCCUGGAUUCAGCGGCGGACGGGUGAGUAAUGCCUAGGAAUCUGCCUGGUAGUGGGGGAUAACGUCCGGAAACGGGCGCUAAUACCGCAUACGUCCUGAGGGAGAAAGUGGGGGAUCUUCGGACCUCACGCUAUCAGAUGAGCCUAGGUCGGAUUAGCUAGUUGGUGGGGUAAAGGCCUACCAAGGCGACGAUCCGUAACUGGUCUGAGAGGAUGAUCAGUCACACUGGAACUGAGACACGGUCCAGACUCCUACGGGAGGCAGCAGUGGGGAAUAUUAGACAAUGGGCGAAAGACUGAUCCAGCCAUGCCGCGUGUGUGAAGAAGGUCUUCGGAUUGUAAAGCACUUUAAGUGGGGAGGAAGGGCAGUAAGUUAAUACCUUGCUGUUUUGACGUUACCAACAGAAUAAGCACCGGCUAACUUCGUG
rnacentral:rRNA from 1 species